GAAUUUUCUGAAACUUCAGUGACACUAUGAAGUGAUGCAUCUCUCCCACUUACAGCUGUGGAAUUCCCCAAAGAAAGAUUUGUUCUUCUCGUCCGAGUUGCCUGUGAAUCCAAAUGCAUUCUAUCUGUUGAACCUUGCCUUUCUCCACCAUCAUCAUGACCAUCAGCACUUCCAAUUUCAACAUCUAGGCUACGAAGGCUUUCCCCUAGAGUUGCCCCACUACCACUACUUUCCUGGCUAACUGCUUCAACAUCUCGGACAGCAGCAUCAUUAUGUUCAAACUGCAUUUCAACAGACUGCAAGUGAGAAUCACUUGUUACUGGUCUCAUCUCAAUAUUGACAGAUCUGCCCACUGCUACAGAAGAGGGAGGAGGCACAUUGCUGCUCCCAUUGUUCACAUUGUUUUCAACGGGUGUAUCAGGCUGUACUGCAUCUGGUCCAGGUAACUGGCUAACCUCACCAUUGAUUUUAGGUUCUGCUGUUGAUGUAUUCUGAUCAGAAGACUUCUCAGAAACUGGUUGCCUCAACUGAGAAACAAGCAACUCCUCAAGGCCCUGUGGUACAGAUGCACUAGAACCACCACUUUGCUGGUUAUCAUCACUCCACAAAUUCAAACGGUGUCCAUGACGCCCAUUCCUUAGUGAACGGAAGAUAUUAUCCAGCUGAGAUGAAGUAUUCUCCAAAUUCCUAUCUGAAAAGGCCAUAUCACGAGCAUUCUCUGAAUGUCUGCCAGAGGCUGACUGUGUUGUAGGUCCGACUAGAAG
rnacentral:misc_RNA from 1 species